rnacentral:lncRNA from 1 species
AUCGGCAAAUGGUUUAGGAGUGUGUUCGAGCAUGAAUGUUCCCCGCGAUAGCCAGUGUGGGCCUUCGUCGACGUCUAGAAAGACCUCACUUCUGAACAUCCGUUUCCUGUGGUUAGGAACCGUGGAUUACAACCCGAGGUUACCGUCCCAGCUUGAAAUAAUCAUUUGAUCCUUAACGUUUUUUUUUUUUUUUUUGUAGAAACUAAACUGCAUUUUAUGUGUAGCUUUCAGCUUUCUCUUGUUCAUGCUGUAGGACAUACCUGAAUUUACUGUUGUUAAAAUUGUAUUAUCUUUUUCCAAAAAACUGAAGUGUAAAAGGGUUUGAGAUCAGCAUCUUUGUCUGCAGACACUCCUCUCAGUAUCCUCGUGUCGUUCGCAAUAAUUUCUGAUGACGUUAAAUAUUUAUUUAUCAUUUAAUUCUAUACCAGUUGAGUGUAUUAAAAGGAGCAAAGGGUCAAAAACUGGCUCGCGCCUCCCAUCACCUACGUCAGUUAGUGGAGUUAACUAUCUUCAUGCUAUUAUAUAUAGUCCAUUGACACUGUAUUUACACUUAUUCAUAACUGUUUGCUCAUAAAACCUUCAGUGGAUCCCUUGAAUUCCCUUCCCCACAUCAGCGAGGGAACACAGAGCGGCAAACGAGGCCCACUCUCAUUCAUCUUUCCACAAAUCAGACUGACUAAAUUAUGGAAAGACUACUUGUACUUGGGUGGUAACCAAGGUCCUGUCUUGGCCUUCUAGACAGGAUCUUCCUCCAGAAGACUGGACAACUCACCAGAAUCUAACCAGAUAACCUGCUUGUUACCAGCAUCUUCAGGACACUAUAAGGACUGUAGCACCACAGGCUACAAGGCUUCAUCAUAUCCCAACAAGAGUAAAAAAUAAAGUAUAUGAACCCAUCUUUGUCUCUGUAAACGAUAUCAUUCACAUAAUGCAGGAGAUAUUGAUAUUUCCAUUUAAACAAUCAAAACAAUCUGCAUCAGUAGUCGCUAGUCAUAAUGCACCACCACCUUCAUCUAGGGGUGACGUUCAGCUUAUAAGUUACAAAGGAUAUCACAAAUACAGUGAGUGUCUCAAGUGAUGGUGGUGAAUACUCAGCCAUACAAGCAGAGGCGUGGCAAUGGAGUAGACAACAUGGGCAGUUGCCUAGGACCCCGAGGGACGGCUGAUAUUGCAUAAGGACCAGGACCACCAUGCUGGGGGCUCCCAUGGUCCUUCUUGCCUAGGGCCCCAGGGGGUCUAGAAACGCCCCUGCAUACAAGGCACAAGCAUAUUCCAGAGACCCGACCAAAGGACCAGGAGACUGCCUCUUUGGAUUCAAUCUUGAACAGGAACUUUAAAAGCACAACACCUUAACCAUAAUGAGGACUAGACAGUCAUCAGCUCCUUGGUCACUACACUACUACACAGAUCACUCGAGAGGCAGCAGCACUACAGCUACUCAAGGAGGACACAAUGUAACAGGUGCAGUAAGAAAAUUUUAUUUAGUGACCCAGUAACACUUGCUCUGCCCGAAGCUAACUGCGUGGGGGGCAUGGAGGGAGUGGUCGGCCCUAGGAGCAGAGGCUGCCCACCGCCGUCACACCCCCCACCAACUGAGACUGUGAGGGGUUCCAACUAGGAGCUGUGAUAGCAUGUGUUACAAAUAUUGUACAGAUGUGGUAUAGGCUACACUUGUGGAACAGCUGUGGUGCAAAUGUGGUACAAACGUGCAUUAGUAUUAGCGGGGAAAUAAAGUGUACAGGGGGUAACAACUCAGAUAAUAAAACUACAUAUGUAAAAUCUAAGUGCCUGGUAAUUUAUGAACAUGAUAAAAAGAAGAAAAAAAACUCUUUGGUAAGGAAUGAAAAGGGUAUAACUUAUUGCCUAAGUGAAAGCAACACUUACAGAACACUGGAAUGAUGCCCAUCAUUUGCUGUAACAACCACAUGUGCUUCAUUGAACUGUUGGGGUAAUUAACACUGACAACAACACUCAGGUUUUAAUUUGUCGGUCAUUGAAUUUUGCACCAAUGACAAUUCCAUGUCACACUGGAAGAUUAAGACCAAAUACAAACAAGAAAAUGACAAACACGAUCUAAAUUCGGAAAUUGUUAAGCAAGUAAUUUAGUUAUGCUGAUUUUAAUUUACGUAUUGACAUAUGAUUGUAUUCCUUUUAAGGAGGACAAGAGCAUGGAAGAGCCAUUGGUGUUGUGCCUUGAUUGCUCUGAAAACCAAACAAUGGAUCGGACAAGAGUCAAACAAACUGGCCUGCUUUCUGUGGCAGUGAGACGAGAGUUGUUCCGAGUGAGGUGACCCAACCAGAAGACGGCCACUAACACAAAGAAAAGAGGGAAACAGAACUCUAUAUUUAAAUGGUGUGUGAAUGAAGCACUGUAAGAACUUGAGUAAAGACUGAACUUCCACCUGACAAGCUUCAUUAAAACAGUGGUGCCAAAAACAGCAGUUAUUAUUGGUCUGCCAAACAGAACUAUGCAAACUUAGAGUCUUGAGAAUAGAUGCUGAAGUAUGCCCAGCUUAUUAAUUAAGUGUUGAUAAAACCAAGUGAAGUACAGUUUUAAACAUUUAAAUUAGAAUCUUAGUCAAAAACAAUUAAAAAGGGUUAAUUAAAAACUUAAAAAAAAAUGUAUAAGUAGCAUUAACCCUUUUAACUAGUCUGGUUUCCUCCUUUAAUAGAAGUGUUUUGUACAAGCAUAAAGUAUUAUUCUGAAAGACAGCACUGGCAGCAAAGAGUAACUCAGUAGUUGACACCUUCCAGCUUGCAGUGUUUAUAUUUUGCUUUAUAAGAUUGUCUGGGUUUACCAAAGUCAGAAGUGUCAUUGUCAUCACUCAAUGGAUCAAGAUUUCAUUCACAACACCUUGAGCAAAAUUGAACAGCCAAUAAUGAUGUACUUUUUUGUAAGCAUUUCACCUCACCAGGAAACAGCUGCACUUCACACCCUCCGCUGCUGCCACCCGUCACAUGGCCACGGAAAGCAGCCACUAAACUCCAUGUGGGUGACUAGUGCCUUAUAUCCAAAUUCCAGGCCUUGUCUUGAGUCUGCCCUAGCCAGAGCUCACAUAAUACUCAUAAAUCAUCCACAAGACUGGCUCUACGAUAUAAAACCUCAUUUGAACUAGGACAAUCUCAAGUUAGGUACUGCAACUUGAGUUUUAGUACUCUUGAGUACAAAUCAGGAAUAUCGUUUUAUUCGUACCCGUCACAAGAACAGCUAAAUGCUAACUUUGUACUCACUUUUGAUGGCACAAAUUACUGUUGGUGGUUCCAAAAAAUUUAGCACACGUCAUAUAAAACUCCUCUAUGAAAUAAAAACUCUAUUCUCUUUACAUUAAAAACACUU